GACGAACGCUGGCGGCGUGCUUAACACAUGCAAGUCGAACGGAAAGGCCCUGCUUUUGUGGGGUGCUCGAGUGGCGAACGGGUGAGUAACACGUGAGUAACCUGCCCUUGACUUUGGGAUAACUUCAGGAAACUGGGGCUAAUACCGGAUAGGAGCUCCUGCUGCAUGGUGGGGGUUGGAAAGUUUCGGCGGUUGGGGAUGGACUCGCGGCUUAUCAGCUUGUUGGUGGGGUAGUGGCUUACCAAGGCUUUGACGGGUAGCCGGCCUGAGAGGGUGACCGGCCACAUUGGGACUGAGAUACGGCCCAGACUCCUACGGGAGGCAACAGUGGGGAAUAUUGCACAAUGGGCGGAAGCCUGAUGCAGCAACGCCGCGUGCGGGAGGACGGCCUUCGGGUUGUAAACCGCUUUCGCCUGUGACGAAGCGUGAGUGACGGUAAUGGGUAAAGAAGCACCGGCGAACUACGU
rnacentral:rRNA from 1 species